ensembl:lncRNA
CGGUGAAAAUUAUUCUUGGAGCUAGGUUUAAUUGAGCUGCAUUUUAAAGAGGUGCAAUUUCACAAUUUGUGUAUAUUUUCUACGUUCACUAUUUUGUCAUGUGUUGAGAAAAACACAGAUUUUAAAAUUACAUGGUCUAAUAUUUACAUUUAGCAUAUAACUGCAACAUUAUUUUUUCGUUUUUUUUUUUUUUAAAGACUGGAAAGGACUUGAAAUUCAAAGUUUCAGACUUGCAGGUUAUAUUUUGUCAUAACAUAGACACUGUUUCUGAAAUUGACUGGGUAAUAUGACGUAAAAUCAAGUAGGUCUUCAACAUCAGUCAGUUCAGUUGCUUGGGCAAGGUUGGGAAUUGCAAUUUCAUAGGCAAGAAAGUCUUUGUUGAAACCCAAGGUUUCAUACACCUGGUAUUCAAAACAAUAAAGUACACUAUUAACAAUAAAAAUGUUUUUUACAAGUCCAAAGAUAGGGUUUAAACCAUUUGCUGAAAUGAGUAUAAGAGACCUGUCACAGAUGUAUUUGUUUCCAUGUAAAAUAAGCCACUUUACUCUAACGGCAUGAUGUAUAGCAUCUUCAAUCCCCAAAAACUCUACAACCUUUGAUUGCAAAUGGUCCAUAUUAGCAACCUCUGAUACAGGACCUAGUUCUUUCUCAUUUACAAAUAUCGGAUGCUCAGUUCCUGCUUCACUUUGGCAACACUCCAGCAGCUGAUUAUGGUUUACAAGAGACUUGCACACAUUCUUAAAGUUUAAUUUGGAUGACCAUUGUUUAAAAAAACUGUGUUUAGACUCGAAUCUCAUGCACAUAUGACGUAUUACAGGUCCCAGGGCAAUAAUUUGAGAGGGAAGAUGCAGCAUGUAAUGUUGCUUUGGUAUUACAUUUUUUUCUGGGAUUAGUUGCCUGAAUUGUUUAAGAUGAUCUUCUAUCAUUUUUUUUAGUUUGGACACAGUUUGUAAAGACACAACUGGGGCAAAAAGUAUUUUAACAAUUUCAAUUAAAUCCAAAAUAAACUGGAUAAAGGGAUUUUUCUCUACAACACUGUACAAUAAGAAUGGCAAAAUCUUGAUCAAUAUAAGCAUUUGUCCAGAGGAUUGUUUGAGUCUGUUGUCACUUGAAGCUAAAGUAGCAAUACUAAUUGGUGAAGGCUUGUCACGUAUGUCCACUGAUGAAAAAGGAAAGUUCUGCAUGGCAGAAUUAAACAAGUCCAAAUCCAAAUUUCUAGAUAAAACAAGGUAUUUCAACACACACUUAAUUUCCAUUGGUGCCACUCCUUCAAGAAUUACAUGCAUAAUAUCCUGUAGCAUCUGCUCUAUGAGAUUAAAACCUGGGAAAUCAACUAAUUUGCUUUGUCUAUUUAUGCCAAAAGUCGUUUUGAGCGAGGAUUUCAAAAAUUCGGUAGUUGCCCUUUCUAUUUCAAUGCACUGCCUAAUGUGUCCGUCCAAUGUCUGUCUGGUGAAACUAUGUUCAUUGAAAUUUUCUUGCAUUUCAUCAAAAGUACACUCACAAUGACGACAUUUGCUAUACACAAAACCAACUCCUUCCUUAAAUCCUGCAAGCUCAUGCUGGGCAAGAGUGUCUCCACACACAGCAACAACUGCUCCGUUUAAAUAAAAUUCCCCAUUGACAGUGUUAAUCAUAACACCAUCGUACAGUAACUUCAAGUCCUCAUUGAUUCUCCGCAGUAUUAUAUCUACCCCCCACUCAUCUAUGUCCCUAGACUUUGCGAUUGCGAGAAGUCUGAUGGAAGCCAACUUUGAUCUAAACUUAGGGUCUAUGUUGCCUAAGGUGUAAUAAAACAUUAGUAGUUUAUUUACACUCGCACGUGACCCUAGGGGGUUACACAUUUCUAUCUCAUCAGAAUAGAGUAUCAGUUGUAAAGCAGAGUUCUUCUUUGAAAACAGUGGGUGGGUUUUGAAAAUAAUUCCAUCAUUAAUGUCAUACAAAAAACUGGCGUUGGGGCAACUCUGAGGUCCAGCACUGAGCAUGUCAAAUAGUCUUGAAUUGGAUAAUAGCUGUUUCAAACUUUCAAUCAAAGGAAUGUAGUAGAAAGACUUGUUUUUGAUUGCAAGAACUCUCGAUUCUCCCUUUUUAACUCUACAGGCAUAAUUGGAAAUGAUGAUCUCCUCAGGUGUGACAGGGUUGAAAUGCAUCUGUGUUACACGGUCCUGUAGGUUUGAAGCUGCACAUAUGGGAAAGGGAUCCUGAAAGUUGUCCAGUGUUGAAAGAACUUCUUGUUGUAAAGGUCCAUUGCUGUCAGGUUGCCUUUCAAGGAUGGUCUUUAUUUUUCCCCUCAAGGACGUCAGAAGAGCUGUUUGAUACUGUUGGACACCAAGGACAAUGUUGUUGACACUCCUCUGAUGGGGGAAAAAAAACACAUCAGAGACAUGAAAGCGUAAAUAGAAAAUAUAACAGAAGCAAAAUGCAACUCUAUUUCUUUAGCUCAAAUUAAUGAGCCACUGAAUGUUGUAAUUUACCAGUGGAGCAGUAGAAGAAGAAAUCAGCCAAUAAUUGGCAUUGUUUUGCAUGACAUGCCACAUGCAUGACUCACGUGGCACAAACACAUUGCACCGAGCAAGAUGGAGGAGCAUGAAAGGUUACAACAGAAAAAGUGAACAAAUGAUUACCUCAUUUAUUUUUUUUAUGUAAUUCUACUUCAUUUGUCUUUUAUACCUAAAAGUGAACACAUUUUACACUGUUAAGCCUAUUUUAAACUGUUGAGUGUGCCCAGAGUUACAUACAUUGCAGUGAACUGCACAACUCUUGUGCUUAACUUCUUCGUAAUGUACAUUUGUUCUUAAUAACUUAUAUAGGUGAAAGUAAUAGCUGAAUAAAACCAGCGAUGAAAAACAAUCAAUUAAUUGCAAAGAUAGUGGACAGAUUAUGAAAAAAAAAUUAUUAGUUGCAGCCUUACAUUGAACCAGACUUAUUAACAAGUUAACAAUGACACCCCCAUAAUAUCAGAUGAAGCAGUACCUGUGAUAGGUGGCAUUGCUCCCGCACACCAAUAGCAAAUGCAGCUGCACAUCUGGCAAGAUCAACAGUUUCUCUUUUACCCUACAGGACAAAAAGAAAAACAAUUGUGUAAGAAAAAUGACUCACUCAGAAUGUGUUUCAAAUUCCACCAGAUGCAAAACAAAACAAAGAAAUAUUCCAAACUGUUGUACAUUUUUGCUAUUAAAAGAUUCAUACUACAAUGGAUAGCUAAUGAAGCUGCAAAUGUUAUGAACAAUUUAAGAGUUAUUUAAUGAAACUUAACCAAUCUUUAUGGAAUCUACUCUGAAGUUAACUGAAAGAAAAAUUUGAAAGCUGCUUGGUUCAUGGAGCAUCUAACAACAAUCAAGGCAGGUACACAACACUGGUAAAUAAGUUUAUUUAUUAUGUUUAAGUAUGGUAACUAAGCCUACAUUGUUGUGCAAGCCUGAAUUUCAGCGGAUUCAUGCAUUUGAAAUUCAGCACUGGCCUUCAUACCUAUUAAAAUAUUCUAAUCAAGUAGUUUAUCUUAGAAAACACAUAACUUUAAAACUAUAAUUUUCACUUGAACUGAGUACAUUUUCUCUAGUUAGGCUUUACUACGGUUUUACUAAAGCUGAAUUGGGGUAACUGUGCUUGGUUAAGGUUAAACAACACACAUACAUUUAAAAAUUCGCGCACGUACACACAGAAACACAUAAAGUACAUUACCUGAUUCUGACGAGGUGUUUGAAGCUCAGCCGCGUCUUGCUCCAUCACGUUCUGACUUUCCUGUCGCUCCUCCUCCAACACCUCCGAUGUUACUGGGGGGUCUAGUGGUGGUGGCUCUACUUCAGUGCCAUUGCCAUUGCUAACAGUUUGUCUGGGUUCGGCAGUAUAGUCGGCAAAAAUGGCUGUACCAAAAUUUUCGCCUCCUAAUACAUUUGCAUCGGAUGAAGCUGUCAGCCAUCCUGUAGGCGGGUUCCCAGUGGAGAUGUAUUGUGGAUGUGUGCGUCUGAGAUGGUGGUAAAACGAGUUGAAAACACGGUAAUCCUCGGCGCAUCCAUCGACUCCACAAAUGACACGGAAAUCUGGACUGCGACUGUGUGCAGUAUUAAUGUGACUUAAGAGAGACUUCAAUGUUAACGCCACAAAGACGAAGCAAAUCACACACCUCCAACAGGCCAUUGUAUUAGACUAAAGUCAAGCAAAAAAUAUGUUGCAGUGUGGAGCUGUUCCCUCGGGUCCUCUUAAUCAGCGGUCUCCAACCUUUUUUGCGCCACGGACUGGUUUAUGCCCGACAAUAUUUUCACGGACCGGCCUUUAAGGUGUCGCGGAUAAAUGAGGGAGGGGCUAAUAAUCGGCUCAGUCAUUUUUAAUGAUCGUUGAAAGCCCAGAUCGUAAUCGUGAUUAAAAUUCGAUUAAUUGAGCAGCCCUAGUACAAACCACUAAAUUGUAUAUAGAAGCAAAAAUUGAGAUGUGCACCCCCUUCGUGUUCCAUGUUAGUUGUUACCCAACUCCGUUUGAAUUUGGAGUCACAGUAAUCUUCUGCACCUGAGCAUUGAAAGAAAAACUGUGAGAGAAAACUUCGUCAAGAAAGAGAGGUGACUGAGCAAUGGAGAAGCUGGAUGAUGUAACAGUAUCUGUCCUUAAAGCUGCAAGCAUUGACGAGCGCAUGCUUUUAACAUUGACCCGUGAUGAUCUGAGGGACCUUUUUUCUGGGCCUGAGCACUUUCUCAGAAGAAAACAUGUGUGGUCAAUAAUUCAUCCUGAGGAAGACCAUCCGCUACCACAGAAACCUGAAACAACUUCUUCACCCAGGGUAGUUGCAACAGGCCCUCCAACUGCUGAUGCUAAUGUAAGCCAGCUGAAAACCUUGCAGCUCCCCAGUCCUCCGGAAUAUGUUCUGUACACCGACAGUGAGUUGGAGCAAUGCCGAAAGAGUUACCUGGAGUUGGCCUGCUCCGGCAGGGAACAGGCAUGCGUCAUGUCAAAAGAACUGAGAUGCAGAUUGGUGAGAAAUACAAUCACAAGUAUGGUGUCCCUUUUGAGAGCAAGCCAAGGCCAAAUGGAGCGAUACCCCUCUAAGACCGAAAUCACUGCAAUGGCUAAAAAAGUUGUGGAAUAUUAUCCUAUGCUGCAGGAUAAUGAUGCAAGCGUAAAACACGAGAGCAUUAAUGCCAAGUUACAAAAAAGGCUGCAAAAUAUGAAAACCCCAGUAAAAAGGCAAGGACCAACACCGGAGAGGGGACGGCCCAAGAGAAGGCUCACUGACCUCUACCCAAGGGAUGAAGAAGCUGAUGAUGAAGAUGCUGAUCGCAGUUCUUCCAGUGGUGCAUCUACUCUGUUAUCACCUGUCAGAAAUUCUGACAAUGCCUCCACUUCAUCUGACAAGGAUAGUCGGCAAAUACAAGCAAGACAUUACAAAACAUUACAAGAAAUGUGUAAGAAGGCAAAACCAAACCAAGAAGAUGUGUCCCAGCUAUUAGACCUCGAGUUUGAAGCCAGAAGAUCCUUCAUUGACUCAGACACCAUGAAAGAGGAGAACAGAGCUUGCCUCAUCUUGGAUGCAUAUCCAUGCUUUAAAGAAUUGCAUCAUGCGUUGGGUGAGCUUCGCAGAAUUUUGGAUCCCCACAACAACAAGUUCAUCAGUCAAGUAAAACUGAGAUGGGAAGAAUUCUGCUCCAGGGUAGAGUUCUACGGUGUGUCAAAGAAGGCAAUGAAUCCACCAAUGACCAUGGACAAAACUGAAGCCCACCUUGCACUGAUGAAGGCUCUUCCAACCCUCUUUCCCACACCUGCCCAUCCACCAAAGAAGAUGGGGAAUGCUUCUGAAGCAUUUCUACAUGUCCUGAAGCCUACAGAAGAUCCAGAUGCUGUCCUCCAGAAACGAAGCUUGUCAUGUCCAGUAGUGAUGUUCGAUGGCUGCAAGUGUGUCAUUGCUGUUGGUAAUUUACCAGUUACAACAUUUGACAAAGAAAAAAUUGGUGAGGCUAUGAUAUAUGUGAUGGCAUACUUUUAUGCACUCCAUCUGACUUACCACAAAUGCGUGGCAACCCUGCUGUCUGUCAUUCAGACAGAAGUUCUCCAGGAUGCCAUUCAUGAGCAUGACACUACAUCAUCUUACAGAAAAGCCCUGGCAGAAUGGCAUGCAUUUAUUGGAAAGUAGUGUGUAAAUUUCAGAUAAGAUUAGGAGAGGGCACUUCUGUUUUGUUUUUGUUUGUUUUUUCAAUCUGGGUCUUAUUUCUAAAAUGGAAAAUGUUCAUUUACUCACCCAGACAAGUUUUGUGGUAUUUGGUGUCAUUCGGAAGAAAUUUGAAUCUUUGUGGUCUUCCUAUGUCACUCGUCAAUUUUAAUGGGGCAAUGGCGAAACCUCUAAGGCUGUUGAAAUGUUGAAACCACUUAAACAAACUCAUAAUGUUGGACCUGUACUGUUCAAUUGUAUCUUUAUUAUCUGCAGGUUAUUGUUAAAGUGGACAAAUAAAGAUGGACACUUUUACUCUG